rnacentral:rRNA from 1 species
CAUGUAGGCGGUCUGUUUAGUCUGAUGUGAAAUCCCGGGGCUCAACCCCGGAAGUGCGUUGGAUACUGGCAGACUUGAGUAUGGGAGAGGAAAGUGGAAUUCCGAGUGUAGGAGUGAAAUCCGUAGAUAUUCGGAGGAACACCAGUGGCGAAGGCGGCUUUCUGGACCAAUACUGACGCUCAGAUGCGAAAGCGUGGGUAGCAAACA